CAGUAGCCACGGGAAUACGUAGGGUGCAAGCGUUAAUCGGAGUUACUGGGCGUAAAGCGUGCGCAGGCGGUUCGUUAAGAUAGAUGUGAAAUCCCCGGGCUUAACCUGGGAACUGCAUUUGUGACUGGCGGGCUAGAGUAUGGCAGAGGGGGGUAGAAUUCCACGUGUAGCAGUGAAAUGCGCAGGGAUGUGGAGGAAUACCGAUGGCGAAGGCAGCCCCCUGGGCCAAUACUGACGCUCAUGCACGAAAGCGUGGGGAGCAAACAGGAUUAGAUACCCCCGUAGUCCCUGUCUCUUAUAC
rnacentral:rRNA from 1 species